rnacentral:misc_RNA from 1 species
GAUGAAGAACGCAGUGAAAUGCGAUAAGUAAUGUGAAUUGCAGAAUUUAGUGAAUCAUCGAAUCUUUGAACGCACAUUGCGCCCUUUGGUAUUCCGAAGGGCAUGCCUGUUCGAGCGUCAUUAUAACCACUCAAGCCUUUGCUUGGUAUUGGGGUUCGCGGUCUCGCGGCCCCUAAAAUCAGUGGCGGUGCCUGUCGGCUCUACGCGUAGUAAUACUCCUCGCGAUUGAGACCGGUGGGUAGCUUGCCAACAACCCUAAUUUUCUCAGGUUGACCUCGGAUCAGGUAGGGAUACCCGCUGAACUUAAGCAUAUCAAUAAGCGGAGGA